rnacentral:rRNA from 1 species
GACGACGCUGGCGGCGUGGAUUAGGCAUGCAAGUCGAACGGUAGGAUACCUUCGGGUAUCUGAGAGUGGCGAACGGGUGAGUAACACGUAGGUGAUCUACCCUCAAGAUUGGGACAACCCAGGGAAACUUGGGCUAAUACCGGAUGAAAGCAGCAGCGAUGUUGUUUGAAAGGUGGCGUAAGCUGCCGUUUGGGGAUGAGCCUGCGCUCUAUUAGUUAGUUGGCGGGGUAAAGGCCCACCAAGGCGAUGAUAGAUAGGCGGCCUUAACGGGUGGUCGCCCACACUGGGAUUGAGAUACGGCCCAGACUCCUACGGGAGGCAGCAGUCGAGAAUAGUCUACAAUGGCCGAAAGGCUGAUAGUGCGACGCCGCGUGAACGAAGAAGCCCUUCGGGGUGUAAAGUUCUUUUAUAUGUGAGCAGUGACAUCUAUAUUAAUAGUAUGGGUGUAGAGAUAUUAGCAUAUGAAUAAGCAACGGCUAACUCCGUG